rnacentral:rRNA from 1 species
GUGGGGAAUAUUGGACAAUGGGCGAAAGCCUGAUCCAGCCAUGCCGCGUGUGUGAAGAAGGUCUUCGGAUUGUAAAGCACUUUAAGUUGGGAGGAAGGGCAGUAAGUUAAUACCUUGCUGUUUUGACGUUACCGACAGAAUAAGCACCGGCUAACUUCGUGCCAGCAGCCGCGGUAAUACGAAGGGUGCAAGCGUUAAUCGGAAUUACUGGGCGUAAAGCGCGCGUAGGUGGUUUUGUAAGUUGGAGGUGAAAUCCCCGGGCUCAACCUGGGAACUGCCUCCAAAACUGCAUGACUAGAGUACGGUAGAGGGUAGUGGAAUUUCCUGUGUAGCGGUGAAAUGCGUAGAUAUAGGAAGGAACACCAGUAGCGAAGGCGACUACCUGGACUGAUACUGACACUGAGGUGCGAAAGCGUGGGGAGCAAACAGGAUUAGAAACCCGGGUUCC